rnacentral:ncRNA from 1 species
UAUGGUAGAGGUUGCACCGGUUAUCAGUAUUCCAUCGGACAUGACAGACAUGGCAGAGGGUGGAGGAAAGGAAGCGGUGCCGAAGCGGGCAGAAUGGUCUGUAGGCUGUCCGACUGGGCGCAUGGUUAAGAGCCGUGUGACUGUCAUCAUACUUGAUUUGAUGGAGAGCUACUUGA